GUGUUCUCUUUGGCAGCACAUAUACGAAUAUCAAAACAAUAUAAAGAAGAUUAGCAUGGUCCCUGUCCAAGGAUGACACACAAAUUCACGAAGCGUUCCAUAUUUUU